rnacentral:rRNA from 2 species
AACGCGAAGAACCUUACCAGCUUUUGACAUGUCCGGUUUGAUCGGCAGAGAUGCCUUUCUUCAGUUCGGCUGGCCGGAACACAGGUGCUGCAUGGCUGUCGUCAGCUCGUGUCGUGAGAUGUUGGGUUAAGUCCCGCAACGAGCGCAACCCUCGCCCCUAGUUGCCAUCAUUAAGUUGGGAACUCUAGGGGGACUGCCGGUGAUAAGCCGCGAGGAAGGUGGGGAUGACGUCAAGUCCUCAUGGCCCUUACAGGCUGGGCUACACACGUGCUACAAUGGCGGUGACAAUGGGCAGCGAAAGGGCGACCUCGAGCUAAUCCCAAAAAGCCGUCUCAGUUCAGAUUGCACUCUGCAACUCGAGUGCAUGAAGGUGGAAUCGCUAGUAAUCGUGGAUCAGCAUGCCACGGUGAAUACGUUCCCGGGCCUUGUACACACCG